GGUGGACUAAGAGCGACGCAAUAAUAACAUUACGCGUCGUGGGAAAGUUCGAAAUAUUUCGAAAACGAAAACAUCGUAACGCGAUUCUCCGAAUUUCGUUUAGUCAUAGCUCAACGAGGUGGAAACAAUAACAAACGCUUGUUAUAUUCGCGCGAAGGAACGAACGUAAUUACAACCACUCGACGAAAGUAUCUUGGCCGCGUCGCUUCGUUUGCCUCGGGUGCUCUCGACGCCGCUUCCGGUUCGGUCUGCGCCUUCGUUGCAGCACAACGGAAAAUGAGGGAAGAAAAUCGCGUGAAAAGAAAAUCAAACCGGCUGCCCUGCUCGUCGCCCUCGGUUUCAGCUUCGAGGAAGAAAUCAACGCCGGGUAACAAUAGCGGAUGGAGCCGAUGGAGAUCUUUGAUGUUGGAGCAAGUUCGACGUACCACUCCUCCCCUCUCGAGAAACUUUGCCAAAGCACGCGCCUCGAAUCCGCGCGGCGAACGUGGUUGCAGGUGGUGAUCGAAAGGUGAAUCUUGGCCACGAAAUCGGCCACCCUCGACCAUGCAUCCCCUCUACGGUAUCCGAGAUCACCGCCACGAGAUACGCAUUCAACGUUUUGACAACGACUAAUCGGACGGCUAUCCUUUUCGUGGGGACGCGAAAACGAUUUUUCUCAAUGACGUAUCACGAUAUCCUUCGCAGGCCGGAUGCGAAUGCAGCUGACUUUGAAAAAUUCCCACCCGUUCUUUCGGUAAUUUAAAACUUCUAAAGCCCAUUAUCAGCGACGAUUGUGAUGAAAAGAUACCGGAUUUGCACCUGCUGCGCCGAUCCCUCCUCUCCAGUUAACGCAGUGGAGAGUGUCUUUUGCGGCCUGUUUACACAUCCGCGAGAGA